AUUGAACGCUGGCGGCAGGCCUAACACAUGCAAGUCGAGCGGAUGAAGGGAGCUUGCUCCUGGAUUCAGCGGCGGACGGGUGAGUAAUGCCUAGGAAUCUGCCUGGUAGUGGGGGAUAACGUCCGGAAAAGGGCGCUAAUACCGCAUACGUCCUGAGGGAGAAAGUGGGGGAUCUUCGGACCUCACGCUAUCAGAUGAGCCUAGGUCGGAUUAGCUAGUUGGUGGGGUAAAGGCCUACCAAGGCGACGAUCCGUAACUGGUCUGAGAGGAUGAUCAGUCACACUGGAACGGAGACACGGUCCAGACUCCUACGAGAGGCAGCAGUGGGGAAUAUUGGACAAUGGGCGAAAGCCUGAUCCAGCCGUGCCGCGUGUGUGAAGAAGGUCUUCGGAUUGUAAAGCACUUUAAGUUGGGAGGAAGGGCAGUAAGUUAAGACCUUGCUGUUUUGACGUUACCAACAGAAUAAGCACCGGCUAACUUCGUG
rnacentral:rRNA from 1 species